rnacentral:rRNA from 1 species
CCUACGGGUGGCAGCAGUGGGGAAUAUUGCACAAUGGGGGAAACCCUGAUGCAGCGACGCCGCGUGAGUGAAGAAGUAUUUCGGUACGUAAAGCUCUAUCAGCAGGGAAGAAAAUGACGGUACCUGACUAAGAAGCCCCGGCUAACUACGUGCAAGCAGCCGCGGUAAUACGUAGGGGGCAAGCGUUAUCCGGAUUUACUGGGUGUAAAGGGAGCGUAGACGGCAGCGCAAGUCUGGAGUGAAAUCCCAUGGCUUAACCAGGGAACUGCCUUGGAAACUGUGCAGCUAGAGUGCAGGAGAGGUAAGCGGAAUUCCUAGUGUAGCGGUGAAAUGCGUAGAUAUUAGGAGGAACACCAGUGGCGAAGGCGGCUUACUGGACUGUAACUGACGUUGAGGCUCGAAAGCGUGGGGAGCAAACAGGAUUAGAUACCCUUGUAGUC